rnacentral:rRNA from 1 species
AGAGUUUGAUCCUGGCUCAGGACGAACGCUGGUGGCGUGCCUAAUACAUGCAAGUAGAACGCUGACUACUUUAGCUUGCUAGAGUAGAAGGAGUUGCGAACGGGUGAGUAACGCGUAGGUAACCUGCCUACUAGCGGGGGAUAACUAUUGGAAACGAUAGCUAAUACCGCAUAACAGUGUUUAACACAUGUUAGAUGCUUGAAAGAUGCAAAUGCAUCACUAGUAGAUGGACCUGCGUUGUAUUAGCUAGUUGGUGGGGUAACGGCCUACCAAGGCGACGAUACAUAGCCGACCUGAGAGGGUGAUCGGCCACACUGGGACUGAGACACGGCCCAGACUCCUACGGGAGGCAGCAGUAGGGAAUCUUCGGCAAUGGGGGCAACCCUGACCGAGCAACGCCGCGUGAGUGAAGAAGGUUUUCGGAUCGUAAAGCUCUGUUGUAAGAGAAGAACGUGUGUGAGAGUGGAAAGUUCACACAGUGACGGUAACUUACCAGAAAGGGACGGCUAACUACGUGCCAGCAGCCGCGGUAAUACGUAGGUCCCGAGCGUUGUCCGGAUUUAUUUGGGCGUAAAGCGAGCGCAGGCGGUUUAAUAAGUCUGAAGUUAAAGGCAGUGGCUUAACCAUUGUUCGCUUUGGAAACUGUUAAACUUGAGUGCAGAAGGGGAGAGUGGAAUUCCAUGUGUAGCGGUGAAUGCGUAGAUAUAUGGAGGAACACCGGUGGCGAAAGCGGCUCUCUGGUCUGUAACUGACGCUGAGGCUCGAAAGCGUGGGGAGCAAACAGGA